rnacentral:rRNA from 1 species
GACGAACGCUGGCGGCGUGCUUAACACAUGCAAGUCGAACGGAAAGGCCCUGCUUUUGUGGGGUGCUCGAGUGGCGAACGGGUGAGUAACACGUGAGUAACCUGCCCUUGACUUUGGGAUAACUUCAGGAAACUGGGGCUAAUACCGGAUAGGAGCUCCUGCUGCAUGGUGGGGGUUGGAAAGUUUCGGCGGUUGGGGAUGGACUCGCGGCUUAUCAGCUUGUUGGUGGGGUAGUGGCUUACCAAGGCUUUGACGGGUAGCCGGCCUGAGAGGGUGACCGGCCACAGUGGGACUGAGAGCAGGCCCGGAGGCAGACGGGAGGCAGCAGGGGGGGAGAUUGCACAAUGGGCGGAAGCCUGAUGCAGCAACGCCGGGUGCGGGAUGACGGCCGUCGGGUUGUAAACCGCUUUCGCCUGUGACGAAGCGUGAGUGACGGUAAUGGGUAAAGAAGCACCGGCUAGCUACGUG